rnacentral:lncRNA from 1 species
GAUCCUUUAGGUCGGUGGAGCAUAAUAAGCGAAACGGGUCCGAAUUGGACACUGUAGCUGGGCGAGCGCCCAGGAGAGUUGGGCGGGCGCCCUGCCUCCGAGCCCGAUCGGCCUCCCGUUCGUUCCCGUGGCUUCUGGAGUCUUCUAGAUGAUAGAAAAUUGCGCGGCACGUUAAUAUCUCUAUGUAAUCCCGACGUGUGGGCCUUUCUUCCGUAUUUCCUGAUAACCCCCUGUAGAAAUAGACAAACACCAAAACUCGUGGAAUUCUGUCAG